CCCCUUGUCUGCAGGUUUUAUAAUUAUUUUUUUGUUUUUGCCUAGUGUUCUAAUAAUCUGUUUAUGUUCCUGGCUGAUAUUGGGUGUUCUGUGAAGAAGAGGAAGUCAACCUAAUGUUGCUGGGGAUCACUGAACCAUCAAAGAACUCAUACCCUACCCUUUGGAUUGAUGGCCUGAUUGAGCGCCUGGGGAAGGUCAGAUAUCUAACCAGGAAAGAUCCCUGCAAGGGCAAUUGGCAGGUUCUCCUCACUCAAGAUCCAGACAGCUGAUCACCUUACGGACAGCCUGGGGUCUGUUCCAAUUUAGCCUUGCCCUUUGGACUUCAUGGUGACCCAGCAUCAUUUUAAAGGCUGAUGGACAAGUUCAUUUGCAAUGUGUUGGAUUUUGUUGCAGCAUAUAUUGAUUGAUUGAGGAACAUCUCAGACAUCUGGAAAUGGUCCUGGAGCAUCUCCACUCUAUCAGGCUGACUGUCAAUCUAUCAUAGUGUACCUUUGCUAAGGCUGAGAGACUACCUGGUGUUUGUAAUUGGAAAUGGGAUAACAAAGUCACAAUUGAACAAUAUCUGUAAUAUUCUCUAAAGAGCGGACUACUCUCGCUCUUCCAGUGAAACUGGACAUGUACAGUUAUCAUGUUUAUGCAAUUUUCUGAUUUAGUCGCUUGGUUUUUGUCUGUAUGAAGUGACUUAGCAGGACUUGGACAGUAAGGAUGGAACUGUAGAUUUACAGCAACAGUCUAAAAACCUUGAUAAUGAAGCUUUAUACAUAAACCCACUAAAAGAGAGGUAAGUGCAGAGACCAAACCUGCUGCAGAAGACGGAAAACGAAGAGGCCAGAGAACUAGAAGGUUUACAAAUCUAAAAGGCUUCAGCAUCACUUCUCAAUUACUAACAACAAAUGGAAAGCUGUAACUAAGGAGGCUAAGAAAGUACUUGAAGUCCAUCUAGUGUCCUACAAGACCAUCAGUUGUAAAACAAGUUUAUGACGACUUGGCAAAUCAGUUGCCCCUGAGAAACCCGUCCUUCAGUAGAUACUUGUCAUGCUGUCUCGAUACAAAUAUUGGAUUAUGCAUGGAAUUGUCUUGAGAAAAAAAAAAAAAAAAGAUUCUCAUCUCUCUAACACACUGAAACUGGCUCUGUAUGCUCAGUCGCACCAUCCCAGUCUAGUUCAAGCUCUCAAGCUUCAAGGUAUGCAAGCAGCUUAAGCUUAAGAUCAAGUUGGCCAAGCCCGUCCUCUGCAAAGAGACAAGCAGCAGCAGAGCUAGCCGCAACUGAAGCCACUUCGUGAGAAACAAAAGCUUGAAACCCUUGAAGCGGGGGAACAGACAGACUUUGCACCCUCAAAAUGAACUGCCAUAAGCACAAUCAUGUUUGUUUUAGUAACACUUUGGAACACCAUUAGAUGAAUGCUGACCAGUGUACAGUACAUAAUAGAGCUGUCCCAAACGAUUCUUUUUCAAACGAUUAAUCUAGCGAUUAUUUUUUCAAUUAAUCGACUAAUCUAACGAUUAAUUUUUGGGUCGGUGGUGCGCCGGCCCUCACUUUCAUUGCGCCACGGGGUUUCGAGUAGCAAGCCCUCUGACUCGCUCGUGCGUUAGACUCCUUGGUCCGUGUUUCAAGACGGGUCGGGUGGGUUGCCGACAUCGCCGCAGACCCCUUGCGCCUGUGAGCGUGGGCCGAUCCCCGCCCUGGCGGCGCAACGCGGUUGGAGCGCACUGAGGACAGUCCGCCCCAGCCCUAGUACAUAAUCUUACAAAUAUUUCAACUACACAUUUGGUUACUAGCACAGCAUGGCUACAGGAUAAAUAUUUAGAACAAAUUUGCCUGCCUUGUUGUAUUGUCUCCAUCUAUCGGUACAUUGGUAGUCCUCCCAAGUCAAUUAUACCAUUCAUCCAUAUUUUAUGAAUAUCCUCUCUAAAUCCUCUCUGACGUGACAUUACUGAAUUAAUUUUGCUUCCAAAUCGAUCCGGUUGAGUAGGACAGGACACGUAAUAGGAAAGGACAGCUAGAUCAGGUUCAGGAAAGGGGAGGAGUUAAGGAGAAACUGCGUUUUUUUUUCAAGAAAACCUGCUAGCGAGCAGGGAAGGUUCACAGAGUCAGUUACCAUGGUAACUGACCUACAGUUUAAGCUCACUCACUUUCUGGAACGGAAAACCCAGAGUUUCCCUCUUUUCAGGAUUACAUUUUUUUUGUAAACCUUGCUUUAUGGAAUACACCCCAGGCCCCUGCUCCUUCAAACCCUAAUGCCUGGCCAUGUUACUCCUUGUGUCUGUGGAGAUUCUCGUCCAUCGAAGUCAUAGUUGUCCACGAGGUUGUUGAACAUUUAUUACAUUACAUUUAUUGUUUGUGUUUUUUGAAGUUUUUGAACUCUGCACCAACCCAUGCACCAACUAUGGGUGUCUUCCGACCUCUGCCUUUUUGGCUAUUGAGGGUCAUUUGACUAUGUUUGUUGCUACUAAAAGCAUGUAUACAGACAAUGGAGGCAAAGAAUACCUAUCUCAGCCAAUUAACUGUAGUUUCCUGAGUUAAUGCUUCUUAUAUAUUUGUCUACAUAAGCUAAUAAAUGUGACAAUUAUCUGGCCAAGGAAUUAGGAUUUUGCAGUGCUACUACAGAAUAAAAACGUAAAAACUCUGCCACAGGAGCUGCUA